ACUAGCGGGAGGGGGCCGGGCUAGCGGGCUACUGGGCUGCGGAGACCAGAGCCCGGCUCCACUGAAGAAACCCGCCGGCUGCUGGGGCAGGGCGGCGAAAGGUCAGUCGGCCGAGAGGAGUCCGUGGAGCCACCGUUUCAUAGCCUCAGGGAAAGGAUCGGGCGUGCUCACGAGCCCUCUAACCCAUGGCUUAAACACCCGCUUCCUAAGCCUGGAUGGAAUGAUAGGGUAUGCAUAAAUGUUCAUGUGGGCUCUGGAGUAUACCAGGAACUGAAGUAAGGUACAUGGACGUCUUGAAUAUUGUAACUGAGAUGGGCAAGCCUACACCUUUGCAAAUAAAGGAGGAUUGGGAAAGAUUAAGCCUCUCAAGCACUGUGAAAAAUCACUUUCUCUUGUUGUAUUCUUGGAGCCCCUGCUAAUUCAUUAUUGAAAAAUACCUGCUGCCUGCAUUUGGCCUUAUGUUGUCAUUUACUUGGUACUUCCUAAGCGUGGCUACUCCAAUGAAGCUUUAGUAUAUGUACUGAAAGAAGAUCCUCUCAUACUGCCACAGCCAAGAGAUAAGGUUGUAAAUCUUUAUUGGGAGAAGCCGUCAAGGACAGUUCUGUGAAAUGAAAGGAUCUCUGGAUCACCACAAAGUCUGGCUCAGUGACUAUGGCUUUGCAAACACUAAACAUUCCUGUCUCAAGUCCUGUAGAUGGCUUGAAAUAGUAUACAUAAGCAUGCCUUAUAAACAUCUUCAGUCUUUAUCAACUCUUUGGAGAUUCAGCCAUUCUUUUUUGUACUUUAGGGAAUUAAAUCAUUUUAUAAUGUAUAAAUCUGAGCAUGGCCGAUGGCAGAAGAAAUUUUGUCAUACGUUUUUAAAGAAAUAAAAAUGUAUUAUGUUUUAAAAUUCCUUUAACUGUUUUUCUUACAAAAUUCCCAACAACUUAGUUACCAAGUAAACUAUCUCAGAUAUGAUUUUUCAGUCCUUGCUAAUCUAUUUAUAAAAUCUUUUGCUAUUUU
rnacentral:lncRNA from 1 species